ACUUAUGUAAUAUAAUAAGUAUAGUUGACUUCCAAUCAAACAGUCUAAUAUAAUUAGUAUAAGUA
rnacentral:tRNA from 1 species